AUAUCUCUCUGUACGGGAAGGAUGAGAAGCUUCGACCAAGGUUCGAUUCGAGCGUCAGCGAGAAAGCGUUGCCGCAGGCAACGACCCGAAGGGCGAAGCGCGCAGCGCUGA
rnacentral:sRNA from 1 species